AGUGAACGCUGGCGGUAGGCCUAACACAUGCAAGUCGAACGGCAGCACAGUAAGAGCUUGCUCUUACGGGUGGCGAGUGGCGGACGGGUGAGGAAUACAUCGGAAUCUACUUUUUCGUGGGGGAUAACGUAGGGAAACUUACGCUAAUACCGCAUACGACCUACGGGUGAAAGCAGGGGAUCUUCGGACCUUGCGCGAUUGAAUGAGCCGAUGUCGGAUUAGCUAGUUGGCGGGGUAAAGGCCCACCAAGGCGACGAUCCGUAGCUGGUCUGAGAGGAUGAUCAGCCACACUGGAACUGAGACACGGUCCAGACUCCUACGGGAGGCGGCAGUGGGGAAUAUUGGACAAUGGGCGCAAGCCUGAUCCAGCCAUACCGCGUGGGUGAAGAAGGCCUUCGGGUUGUAAAGCCCUUUAGUUGGGAAAGAAAAGCAGCAGGUUAAUACCCCGCUGUUCUGACGGUACCCAAAGAAUAAGCACCGGCUAACUUCGUG
rnacentral:rRNA from 1 species